UACGAAGGGGGCUAGCGUUGCUCGGAAUUACUGGGCGUAAAGCGCACGUAGGCGGUCUUUUAAGUCGGGGGUGAAAUCCUGGAGCUCAACUCCAGAACUGCCUUCGAUACUGGAAGACUCGAGUCCGGGAGAGGUGAGUGAAACUGCGAGUGUAGAGGUGAAAUUCGUAGAUAUUCGCAAGAACACCAGUGGCGAAGGCGGCUCACUGGCCCGGUACUGACGCUGAGGUGCGAAAGCGUGGGGAGCAAACAGG
rnacentral:rRNA from 1 species